AUUGAACGCUGGCGGCAUGCCUAACACAUGCAAGUCGAACGAGUGGCGGACGGGUGAGUAAUGUCUGGGAAACUGCCUGAUGGAGGGGGAUAACUACUGGAAACGGUAGCUAAUACCGCAUACCAUCAGAUGUGCCCAGAGGGGCUUAGCUGGUUGGUGGGGUAACGGCUCACCAAGGCGACGAUGCCGAGCUGGUCUGAGAGGGUGACCGGCCCCACUGGAACGGAGCCACGGCCCAGACUCCUACGGGAGGCAGCAGUGGGGAAUAUUGGACAAUGGGCGCAAGCCUGAUGCAGCCAUGCCGCGUGUAUGAAGAAGGCCUUCGGGUUGUAAAGUACUUUCAGCGGGGAGGCGUUACCCGCAGAAGAAGCACCGGCUAACUCCGUGCCAGCAGCCGCGGUAAUUC
rnacentral:rRNA from 1 species